UUAACAAAAACAUGUCUUUUUGAGUUAUUUUUAAAGUCUGACCUGCCCACUGAAAUUUUUAAAUGGCCGCAGUAUUCUAACUGUGCAAAGGUAGCAUAAUCAUUAGUCUUUUAAUUGAAGGCUGGUAUGAAUGGUUGGACGAGGUAUAAGCUGUUUCAUAUAAAUUUAUAAUAGAAUUUUAUAUUUUAGUCAAAAAGCUAAAAUUUAAUUAAAAGACGAGAAGACCCUAUAAAUCUUUAUACUUUACGUUGUUUAAAUUUUUUAGAUUGGUUUUAUUUUUAUAGUUUAAAGUAUUUUGUUGGGGUGAUGUUAAAAUUUAAUGAACUUUUAAUUAUUAAAAAUCAUUAAUUUAUGAUUUAUUGAUCCAUUAGUAGUGAUUAUAAGAUUAAGUUACUUUAGGGAUAACAGCGUAAUUUUUUUGGAGAGUUCAUAUCGAUAAAAAAGUUUGCGACCUCGAUGUUGGAUUAAGAUAUAUUUUUAGGUGUAGCCGCUUAAAUAUUAAGUCUGUUCGACUUUUAAAUUCUUACGUGAUCUGAGUUC
rnacentral:rRNA from 1 species